rnacentral:rRNA from 1 species
AGGGUUUGAUCAUGGCUCAGGAUGAACGCUAGCGGCAGGCCUAAUACAUGCAAGACUAGGGGGCAGCAAUGUCACCGUCGCACGGGUGCGUAACGCGUAUGCAACCUACCUAUCACAGGGGGAUAGCCUUUGGAAACAGGGAUUAAUACCGCAUAAAGCAGGGGCUCCGCAUGGAGAUAUUGCUAAAGAUUUAUCGGUGAUAGAUGAGCAUGCGUCUGAUUAGUUAGAUGGUAGGGUAACGGCCUACCAUGACGAUGAUCAGUAGGGGGCGUCAGAGCGUGGUCCCCCACACUGGCACUGAGAUACGGGCCAGACUCCUACGGGAGGCAGCAGUAGGGAAUAUUGGGCAAUGGAUGCAAGUCUGACCCAGCCAUGCCGCGUGAAGGAAGAAGGUCCUCUGGAUUGUAAACUUCUUUUAUCGGGGAAGAAGAAACGCCUUGCGAGGUGAAGUGACGGUACCCGAUGAAUAAGCCACGGCUAACUACGUGCCAGCCGCCGCGGUAAUAC